rnacentral:sRNA from 1 species
CCUGAUGACAACGUCCCUACAACAGAAGCUACAGAGGAUGAGAUUGCUGAGACAAAUGAGGAUAGGGAGGAGGAGUACGAUACGAGCAUGUAUCAUUUCAGUGAGCAUGUACCUCCAGCGAGGGAGAGCAAGAGCUUGAGCGAAGCUCACAGAAACAACAGCAAGUUUCAGAAGUGGUGCAAGAAACAAGAUAGACUACUCAUCAAGUGCUUCAAGGCCAUCAAGUUUCUGACAGACAAGGUAACCUGCUCCUCUUCUACCAUAGCUAUUCCGCAGGGAGAGCCUCCUCAGGACAUGCCCUCGAGGAGAUAUGACGCGCCAAAGCCAAGUCGCCUUAGGCUAGAGCCAGUUCAACACAGGCCUGAGCCUAGUGACCGAGUAGUCUCACAGGUCCGUGCGAGGUAUUCAUCACUUCACCAUUGUAAUAUACCAUCUCCUGUUUUUAUUUUGUUUAUGUGAUGUGUUUUGUCCUGAGUACUCUCCUCCAAAUUUGGUCACACAGUGGACUGUAUGAUUUAAGUAUGGGGGAGGGCUCAGGAAGUGUGUGUUGCAUUGUAUAUACUCUUGAGUCUGCAUUCAUCUAAGGGAUAGAAAAAAACCAAAAAAAUUGAAAAAUUUCAGAAAAUGAUUUCACAAAAACAGAGUGUUCAUGUAGUUGCAUUACAUUUAGGAUCGAGUCUAGAGUGUUUCAUUUAGGAUUGUUGCUUAUGCAUAGGGGAUAAUGAUGAGAUAGCCUUAUAAGCAUUUUGGUUCACUAGAUAAACUCAGUGCCCUCGUUGUUAGUUGUCUGAUGCGUAGUCAAUGAAAUUGAAGUAAAACUGCACCAUGCCUAGAUUGCUCUACUCGACCACACUAUUAGGAUCUGAUACCAUUCCCUAUCAAUUUGAACUUGAAUAUGAUUUAGAAUUAUCAUGUCUUGGCAUCGAAUUUGAACUCAUGGAUACCCUAAAAUACUUGGAUUUUCUUACUCAUUUUAACCACUCUUGUUAGUCCAAGUAGCUGACUCUCCUUUUCAGAGCAGUAAACCCGAACCCAAACCUAAACUUUCUUUCAAACCCUAUAUCACUUGUGAGUGUCUGUGAGGUCUUAUUUCGAUUGAACUUGGUAGAGAGUGUUAGGUUCGUAAUGACAGAGAUAGUGUCUCAUGUAGUUCUAGUUCACAUUUUUCGGACUGGAUAGGACUAGGUGGGCGCUUAUAUCAUGGUGUGGGAUGUGUUUAAAAGAAAAGGGUGAAUUCAUUGUUGAUAAGGAAAGGGAAAGAAUUCUAGGGGAAGUGAGCUAAAGAAGUUAGAAAAAAAAUCUAGUAAAGGUUUUGGGAAUGUUAAAGAAAAGAAUGAGGUUCUUGUUAGCUAAAGAAGAAGGGUUAAAAGCCUUUGGUUUUAAAGAUUAAAAACAGGAACCCUA